CCCCCCCCCCCCCCCCCCCCGGAGACAGGUGGAGUUCAACUGGACCUAGGGGAAAAAGGUUCGCUCCUCUCUCUCCUGCCGUGCCCUCGACUUACCAUCCUAGUCACCGGUGCCCAGUUCUAGCCAGAAGAUGAGGAAGUCCCUUCCGCCUUCACUUGUAUAAGGAAAGAAACUCUGAAACAACCAGUUGACUUUCUCUGGACGUGUUUCUGCCUUUUUGAAUUCCUUUUCUGUUAUAUACUCUGGUCAUCUCAUCCGGACAUUCAUUCUGUUGAGAAUAAGGUGUUGCCUGCGUCUACAGUCCCAAAUGAAAGUGAACUAGGGUCCUCAAACUAAAUUUGUUGCGGUUUUCCCUGUUCACACCGCUAAGAUGUGUAUGUGAAAUCAUGGUCUUGCCUUUAAAGAGGGUAAUAGUCGAAGAGCUGAAUAAUCCAACUUCAAACUUAAGAGACUUGCCAAACAGAUACAUUUAUUUAAUAUUUGUAUUGCUCAGAUGCAGUUGACAGAGGCUAGUAUUUUUUUUCUUUGUAUCUGUAAUGCCCAAAGAUGAACCUGACAUUGAAGUAUUCAGUCUUUGUUGGAUUUAAUGAUUAUUUUAAAGUACUCCGAGUUUAAUGUCCCUUUCUCUGUUAAAAUGCAAAUGUCCAGAGAAUAUUUUCAUUACUAUACACCAGAUACUCAAAAAGGUACAAAGAAAUGAGUUAAGGGUAUCAUAAUCGUAUACUAUAUCCUGAAGUCUGAAAAACUUAGCUGUGAACCCAGUAGCUGGAUUUAUCGGGUCCUUGCAGCCUUGGUCAUUAAAUGUCAAAGACUGAAUGUGGUAUGUUGGUCAGAGUUGAGAGGAUAGCCAUCACUAAGGGCAUGGGUGCACUCAAGGAAGAAAUCUGAAUCUGAGUGUGGUUUGUUCAUUGUUAGUUUGCCUUGAUAAAUUGAUUCCAGUUUCAAGCCUCAGAUAACCCUGUGCAUUAGGAAAGUGGAGCAUCCUGGAUCUACAGGUUGUCUUUGCUGAAGUCUUGGUAGAAGCUAUCUAAUUCAGCCCUAGAAUCUGCCAGCACUGACUAAUCUUGGGCACUUGCCUCAACCUGUUCGAACUCCAUCUCUUCAUCUGCACAGAAAGUUCUGUGGUACCAACCUCCCAGGAUUCUUGUCAAAUAAGUUCAGUAAAGCAGAUAAAGCACUUGGCAUAGUCAUUGAUCGUGGUAUUAGCUGUGACUGUCAUGAUGACGACCACUCAGAAUGGUAAGAUUGAGUUCCAGGAGAAUUUAUGUAAUAUACAGUUUAGCAGCACUUAGAUUUUCUGCAUUUGGGGACUGAUUUUGCAGAUUCUGCUGCUUCCUUACUGGGGACACAAUUGCUUACAAAAGAAAAAGCAGAAUUGAGUGCUGUAUGGGUGACACCUGUAGUGAAGAGAGCAGUGUGCUGGUCACCAGGAGAAAGAAAAGCUCCCUGAUGCUGCUGCCUGUGUGGGGAUUGGCUCAGAGACCCUUGCAGUCUGGUUUCCUCCACUGGAAGAUAAAGUAGUCAAAAACAAAGGGACAAAAUGGUUCCUUUUGGCACCAGACUCCUGUUAUCUCUCAUAUUAUUUCCCUUGUCAACUGUUAUUGAAAUCUUGUGUCAAAUAAGCCUAAAUGAUAAGGGUUAUUUGUUUCCUUGUAGAACGAGAAAUCCAGAAGGAAGGUGCACUUCAGAAAUCGCUGACUUUGCAGCCCAGCUAGGGAGCCAUUACUCAUGCACACACCACUCUUUCUCUGCCUGGAAAUGAAUUGGCAUCUGGUUCCUUUCAUGGUAAGAAGGAAUGGGAGGGCUCACCCUGCCUUGUGCUUCCAGCACCCCACGGAAUCCAGGACUCUGCAGGAGGAGGAACUCCAUUGUGUGGGUUCUAUACACUACUAAACAAAUUUGCUUACAACCAGCCAUACAACAGUUUAAUUUCAUUAUGUUUCAAUGGGAAAGACACUCCAUUUGGAAUCUGUGAAUAAAUAGUAUCUCUUCUCAAUUUAAAGGCUCUUGACAAAGUGGCUUACUUCUAAAUAAAAUCUUAUGUCUGUAACUUU